UUGAACGCUGGCGGCAGGCCUAACACAUGCCAGUCGAGCGGAUGAAGGGAGCUUGCUCCUGGAUUCAGCAGCGGACGGGUGAGUAAUGCCUAGGAAUCUGCCUGGUAGUGGGGGAUAACGUCCGGAAACGGGCGCUAAUACCGCAUACGUCCUGAGGGAGAAAGUGGGGGAUCUUCGGACCUCACGCUAUCAGAUGAGCCUAGGUCGGAUUAGCUAGUUGGUGGGGUAAAGGCCUACCAAGGCGACGAUCCGUAACUGGUCUGAGAGGAUGAUCAGUCACACUGGAACUGAGACACGGUCCAGACUCCUACGGGAGGCAGCAGUGGGGAAUAUUGGACAAUGGGCGAAAGCCUGAUCCAGCCAUGCCGCGUGUGUGAAGAAGGUCUUCGGAUUGUAAAGCACUUUAAGUUGGGAGGAAGGGCAGUAAGUUAAUACCUUGCUGUUUUGACGUUACCAACAGAAUAAGCACCGGCUAACUUCGUG
rnacentral:rRNA from 1 species